rnacentral:rRNA from 1 species
AACGAACGCUGGCGGCAUGCCUAACACAUGCAAGUCGAACGAGACCUUCGGGUCUUGUGGCUCACGGGUGCGUAACGCGUGGGAAUCUACCCUCAGGUUCGGAAUAACUCAGAGAAAUUUGAGCUAAUACUGGAUGAUGACGUAAGUCCAAAGAUUUAUCGCCUGAGGAUGAGCCCGCUUAGGAUUAGGUAGUUGGUGAGGUAAAGGCUCACCAAGCCGACGAUCCUUAGCUGGUCUGAGAGGAUGAUCAGCCACACUGGGACUGAGACACGGCCCAGACUCCUACGGGAGGCAGCAGUGGGGAAUAUUGGACAAUGGGCGAAAGCCUGAUCCAGCAAUGCCGCGUGAGUGAUGAAGGCCUUAGGGUUGUAAAGCUCUUUUACCCGGGAUGAUAAUGACAGUACCGGGAGAAUAAGCUCCGGCUAACUCCGUG